rnacentral:rRNA from 1 species
UACGGGGGGGGCAAGCGUUGUUCGGAAUUACUGGGCGUAAAGGGCUCGUAGGCGGCCAACUAAGUCGGACGUGAAAUCCCCAGGCUCAACCUGGGAACUGCGUCCGAUACUGGAUGGCUUGAAUCCGGGAGAGGGAUGCAGAAUUCCAGGUGUAGCGGUGAAAUGCGUAGAUAUCUGGAGGAAUACCGGUGGCGAAGGCGGCAUACUGGAUCACUUCUGACGCUGAGGCGCGAAAGCCAGGGGAGCGAACGGG